ACUCCCCAACUAUUUAUCCGACCCCCUUUCUUUAGCGGUUCCAAACUCCU
rnacentral:tRNA from 1 species